CAGGUAGCAAUCUUUCUUUCUGUCGUUUGCGCAGCCGUCGCUGCAAAUGAGCGUGACGCCCCAGCGAAGAAUGACACGCCUCUUUGGGUGAAUGAAGCAUUGCUUGGAAGCUAUCAAGAUGCCUGAGCAUUUCACAAGCAGGCAACGUGACAUAUGUACUCGCCAAGACAACGUACGAAAAUGACACAGGAUCCUGGGGUCCACAAUUCAAGUGCCUGAAAGUGAAUGAAACAAACAUAAAUGACACAGCUCACACAGUUACAUCUGUUUUCACAUUCAAAAAUGCGUUUAGUGGGGAUCAAUAUUGCACUGUCGCAGAAACUGUGCAGGCCACGUACACCUACGGCUACAACCAGACAAGAAACGCAAUUCGUUACAUAGUUGGAGGCCCAGAAAACGUAACAGACACACUCAUCUUUUCUGAUGGAAAAACGUGCGAUGUGUUCCACGUGCCUAAUCAAGACAAUGGUAUGCAGCUAUAAGACGUUUACUUUUUCUAAAAACACGCCAAUAUAUUUUACAUAAUCCCUGCUUAAAUUCGUGUUUUAUCGCAGAUUUUCAA